GGGGAUGUAGUUCAGAUGGUAGAGCGCUCACUUAGCAUGCGAGACGCACCGGGAUCAAUACCUGGCAUCUCCA
rfam:Selaginella moellendorffii unplaced genomic scaffold SELMOscaffold_12, whole genome shotgun sequence.